rnacentral:rRNA from 1 species
UACGUAGGGGGCAAGCGUUGUCCGGAAUUAUUGGGCGUAAAGAGCGUGUAGGCGGCCACUUAAGUCCUGCGUGAAAUCUUGCGGCUCAACCGCAAGCGGUCGUGGGAAACUGGGUGGCUAGAGUGCGGGAGAGGAGAGUGGAAUUCCUGGUGUAGCGGUGAAAUGCGCAGAUAUCAGGAAGAACACCAAUGGCGAAGGCAGCUCUCUGGGACGGUACUGACACUGAGACGCGAAAGCGUGGGGAGCGAACAGG